rnacentral:tRNA from 1 species
GUAGAUUUAAGUUAAGUUUAAACUAUUAGUCUUCAAAACUGAAAAUUUAAUCUAUA